AACGAACGCUGGCGGCAUGCCUAACACGUGCAAGUCGAACGAUACCUUCGGGUCUUGUGGCGCACGGGUGCGUAACGCGUGGGAACCUGCCCUUAGGUUCGGAAUAACUCCCCGAAAGGGGUGCUAAUACCGGAUAAUGUCUUCGGACCAAAGAUUUAUCGCCUUUGGAUGGGCCCGCGUUGGAUUAGCUAGUUGGUAGGGUAAAAGCCUACCAAGGCGACGAUGCAUAGCUGGUCUGAGAGGAUGAUCAGCCACACUGGGACUGAGACACGGCCCAGACUCGUACGCAAGGGAGGAGAGGAGUAUAUAGGACACUGGGGGAAAGCGUGAUCAAGCAAUGCCGCGUGAGUGAUGAAGGCCUUAGGGUAGUAAAGCUCUUUUACCCGGGAUGAUAAUGACGGUACCGGGAGAAUAAGCACCGGCUAACUACGUG
rnacentral:rRNA from 1 species